UGGUAUUAGCAGGUAACUAGGCCAGGAGGGUGGAGCCCUUAAGAAUGGGAUUAGUGCCCUCAUAAAGGCGACUCCAGAGUGCUCCGGUUUCCUUUCCACCAUGUGAGGACACAGUGAGAAGGCAUCAUCUAUGAAGGAGAGAGUGCAAGUCCUCAGCCAGCACUGAACCUGCUGACGCCUCAGCCUUGGAGUUCCCAGCCUCCGGAACUUUUAUCUUUUUUGUCUACACGUAUGAUUUGAUACUUCCAGAAUAACAUCGAACUACAGAAACUGCCUCCUGCUAUUUCCGUUAGACUCGUUCUCAUUUUCUCCCACUUUGAGCAUAAUGGCAACUCUGAACUAUCGAUAUUUGCUUUAUUUACCACUUACUGGUUUAAAAUUAUUUACCUAUUCCUAGUUUAUAAAACACUUCUGGUCAAAUAUGCAUAUUAAAUUUUGCCAAAUGCCUUAUCAGCAACUAUGAAGGUAACCAUGUGAGUAUGCUCGUCAUUUUCUAAUAUUGAAAUAUCUUUCCAUUGUUGGCAUAGCGUCCUCCUGAUCAUAGUGAUUUAUUUUUCCAACAUACUGUUGGACUCCAUUAGCUCAUAAUUUAAUUUAAACUUUGUACAACAUUACUAAGUAAAGUCGCAACCUUUUCUAUUUUA